UUGCAAUGAGAUUGUACUAAGGUAGCGCGAUAAGUUGUCUUUUAAUUGAAGAAUGGUAUGAAGGGUUUGACGCGGAACGAUUGUCUCUAAAGAAAAAAAUGAAGUUUCCUUUUAAAUGAAAAGGUUUAAGUAUAAUUAAAAGACGAGAAGACCCUGUCGAGCUUGAUUAGGUUAAGAACAAGCGCUAGGUUUAAAGAAAAUAAAGAAUAGGGAGGCUUUACUAAUAUUUAGACUUAGUAGUUUAUUAGCUGAAAAUUAGUUGGGGCAACUGGCUUUAAAAUAACAUAGCUAAGAAACUAAUGAUCCUUUUUGAAAGAAAAAUAGCAAAAGCUACCGCAGGGAUAACAGCGUAAUUUUUCUUGAGAAACCUUAUCGAGGGAAAAGUUUGCGACCUCGAUUUGGAUUAUA
rnacentral:rRNA from 1 species